rnacentral:rRNA from 3 species
GAAGGUGGCCUGUGAGGGUUGCUGGAGGUAUCAGAAGUGCGAAUGCUGACAUAAGUAACGAUAAAGCGGGUGAAAAGCCCGCUCGCCGGAAGACCAAGGGUUCCUGUCCAACGUUAAUCGGGGCAGGGUGAGUCGACCCCUAAGGCGAGGCCGAAAGGCGUAGUCGAUGGGAAACGGGUUAAUAUUCCCGUACUUGGUGUUACUGCGAAGGGGGGACGGAGAAGGCUAUGUUGGCCGGGCGACGGUUGUCCCGGUUUAAGCGUGUAGGUGUGUGUUCCAGGUAAAUCCGGUU